rnacentral:sRNA from 1 species
GAGGUGCUAAUAUGAUGUGUAACAUCAUAUUUAAAUUGCACCGAGGAUAUGCCGCCGAACGAAGGUGAGGGGGCAAUACCUAA